rnacentral:lncRNA from 1 species
AGCAUCUCUGCCAACUCUAGAGAGUUUAGAUAUCUACUUAUUUAUAUCUACAUCUAUCUAUAUUUAUAUUAAACAAAAGUGACAGGACAUGGUAAUAGAUGCAAUGUAUAGGUGAAUUAGAGAGAGGUAUCAAGCUUGACUCCCAGGUUUCUGAUAGAAUGGCUGAAUUGAUGGCAAUACCUUUCACUGAGAGGAAACAUUGGCAGAAAACCAGUUUUGAAUGAAGAGGAUGCUUCCUUUUCCUUCUGACAUGAGUGGAACCAGCCAUAGGCCCUCAUCAGAGGCAGAUGCUGGCACUUUGCUUCUCGUACAGCCUGCAGAAUGUUAAUACUCUUGGAUAAUGUAUUUAAGGAUGCUUAAGUUCAUCAUGGGUCCUCUGGAAAUCUCCUACCUUUGUGAGCAAAGAUUACUGCAGGGUGGAAGACAGGUCCAUGAUUGCCCAGGCUGCAGUGCAAGAAGUAUGAUGGCACCAUAUCUCAUCUUGCACCUCAAUGAUCAUCUAACAAGAAUCCUUCUGCAGAUCCCAUCUAAAAUUACAUUUCCAGGCAUUCCACAUAACCGGAGGAAAAAAAACAUGGAUCCUAUGGAAAGUAUUUGAAGAGUUUCAAAAAUAAGAAGAAAAAUAGCAGAACAGUAUGAGAAGACAGAUGGCUCAGCUGAUGACAAAAUCCAUUUGACUUUUACCACAUUGGGAGAUGGAGAGCUUGAUUAAUAGUUGGUCAGCCAAUGAGACAAUUUAACAAGAAAAGCUACUUGGCAAAAUAUGUCUUAACCAGAUACAGCUAUGUUAUAACUGUUAUAACUUAAAUGUUUCUUGUGGAAUCACCAUUUUGCAUCAGACCUCUUAAAUAUGCCUGUUUGAAUAAGCUCAAACCAACAUAAAACUGUUUCUAGCAUUAAGUCCACAACGUAAGCCAAUAUCAAUCUAUUUUAACUGCAUCUACUGAUUAGGUAAAAAAGAAAAUGCCAUUGAAAACUUCUUAGUGCCUUUCCCUGAAUGGCACUAUAAUCUAUUACAAUUACCAAAGAGAAAAAAGAUCAAAGAACGCCUGCCUAUACAAAUUAUUCUUAGAAUACUAGAACUUCAGAGUUGGAAAGAGCCUGAAACUUCUUCUAGCCAAUUACCUUUAUUUUACAACUGAAAUUAAUGAGGCGCAGACACAUGAAGUGACUUUGCUGAGACCACACAGACUUGGAGGAAAAACUAUGUGAGAACAUGAAUUUCUGGUCUUCUAAUUCAAUAUGCACUAUCUUUUUUUUUUUUCCAUUUUUUACUAUAUGCAUAGUCAGUUAUCUUAGAAAUGUUGUUAGGAUUAUUAUGGCUUCUUUUUUAAAGUUGGAGAGGACAUUGCCCAUUAAAUUACAUGUGCCUGUGCUUCAGAGUUAUCCAAGAUCGGAAAUUGUAUAUCUCAAAAUAAACAUGUGAAUAGCAUUUUUAAAAUGCUGUUUAAUAGAACAUAUCUCUUGUAAAAGCCUGGGGAUAACAUGAUAAUAUCUGUUAAUUUUAACUAGAUUAAUUUCUUUUUUUUUUUUUUUUUUGAGACGGAGCAUUGCUCUAUCGCCCAGGCUGUAGUGCAGUGGAAUGAUCUCGGCUCAUCUGGGCUCACUGCAAGCUCCACCUCCAGGGUUGACGCCAUUCUCCUACCUCAGCCUCCUGAGUAGCUAGGACUACAGGCGCCCGCCACCACGCCCAGCUAAUUGUUUGUAUUUUUUAGUAGAGACGGGGUUUCACCAUGUUAGCCAGGAUGGUCUCCAUCUCCUGACUUCGUGAUCCACCCGCCUCGGCCUCCCAAAGUGCUGGGAUUACAGGCGUGAGCCACCGCACCCGGCCUUAACUGGAUUAAUUUCUAAAUAAUAAUUUGGAAGGGGGGAUAAUUUUUAUAUCAUUGAUUUACUUGUUAUUAUUGACCAGAUUUUUGGUAACCUUUAGUUUUGUGAACCCAUCAUAAUAUUAUAAGGAAAAUAGCCAAGAGGAGCAAUGACUUUAGAGCAGAUGACCCCUUGAGCUAAACCUUUCAAGGGAAAUAAAUCACAAAAAAAAUUAUAGCAACUUUAGCUUCAACUUGAGAAUACAUGCUCAAAAUAUUAUGGCUGUGGUUAUUACACAAUGAUAUAUUAUGUGAGUGAUUUCCUAGGGAACCUUCUCUUCAUCUUGUUAUUAUUUUUUGACCAUACUGGUUUAUUUAUACAAUUUUAUACUAGAUGCUUCUCUCAUUUCCUUGAUAACACAGCUGCACACACACACACACAAAUGUCUGUCUAUUGCUGAACAAUGUUAAGUAAUAUAAUUUGACACAUGUACAUUGCAAAUCAAUAAAUGUGACAUUUUCUUUUCCUGGUACAUUCUGUAUAACUUAUAACACAGCUUCGGGUAUAUGAUAUGCCAAGUCAUAUCUUCUGUAUUAUAUCAACUGAAUAAAGGAAAAGGCUGAUAUAAUUUAAUUUCUUAGGGUAGAUUACUUUUGUCUCCACUUAAAAACUGCCUCUCAUGUUUUGAAUUAAAAGUUGUUUGUCAAAUUGGAUAUACCAAAUCAUUGCAUUCCUAGCUGUCUAUAUUAAAGACAUUUAAACAUUGUAUAUAUAAUUACUACAUAUACAUUAAUAAUAUAUAAUGUAUGUAUACACAUCAUAUAUAUAAUUAAUAUGAGAGAAACCGUUGAUCAUCUUUUUAUAGUCCCUAGACUGUGACAAAAAAUGUUAAAUAUAUAUUUUCUGAGUGUAUAUCUAAUAGUCACAUGAAUGUGACAUACUCCAUAAGUCAUCAAAUGAUAGUAUUGUUUUGUGAUUUUUUACUGUAUGUAAAGUUAUCACUUCCAAAAAAAUCUGCAUAAUAUUAUUGAAUUCUAGUUGAUCCAAUGCAUGCAGAAAUAUUUGGAGGUAAAUUGUACUAAUUUAAGCAAACUUUUUAAAAAUUCAUCAAAGUAAACAUGGAUGUAAAUAUAGACAGAGAGUUGCAUAGACGGAUAUGUGAUAAAGCAAAUAUAACCAAAUAAUAAUGUAGAAUUUAUAAAAUCAGUAAAUGGGUGUUAAUUGCACUAUUAUUUUGAUAUGUCUGUAUAGUUGAAAUUUACAUAAAAAUACUGGAAAAACA